rnacentral:rRNA from 1 species
CUGGCGGCCGCCUACACAUGCAAGUCGGACGCAGUAGCAAUACUGAGUGGCAGACGGGUGAGUAACAUGUGGGAAUCUGCCUUGUGGUUCAGGACAACAUUGGGAAACCGAUGCUAAUACUGGAUAAGCCCUUACGGGGAAAGUUUUAAUGCCAUAAGAUGAGCCCGCAUUUGAUUAGUUAGUUGGUGAGGUAAUGGCUCACCAAGACAAUGAUCAAUAGCUGAUCUGAGAGGAUGAUCAGCCACACUGGGACUGAGACACGGCCCAGACUCCUACGGGAGGCAGCAGUGGGGAAUCUUGCACAAUGGAGGAAACUCUGAUGCAGCGAUGCCGCGUGAGUGAAGAAGGCCUUUGGGUUGUAAAGCUCUUUUGUAGGGGAAGAUAAUGACUGUACCCUAAGAAUAAGGUCCGGCUAACUUCGUGCCAGCAGCCGCGGUAAUACGAAGGGACCUAGCGUAGUUCGGAAUUACUGGGCGUAAAGCGCGCGUAGGCCGUUGAGUUAGUUAAUUGUGAAAUCCCAAAGCUUAACUUUGGAACUGCAAUUAAAACUGCUCGACUAGAGUUUGAUAGAGGAAAGCGGAAUACAUAGUGUAGAGGUGAAAUUCGUAGAUAUUAUGUAGAACACCGUUGCGAAGGCGGCUUUCUGGAUCAACACUGACGCUGAGGCGCGAAAGUAUGGGUAGCAAAGAGGAUUAGAUACCCUCGUAGUCCUACCAUAAACGAUGAUUGC